GGGAGUAAAAGUCGUAACAAGGUUUCCGUAGGUGAACCUGCGGAAGGAUCAUUCAUAAUAAGUGUUUUAUGGCACUUUUUUAAAUCCAUAUCCACCUUGUGUGCAAUGUCAGGGUUGAUUUUUCUCUCGAGAGGAUCAACCCCAAACAUCAACUAUAUCUCAACUCUUUGUCUGAAAAAUAUUAUGAAUAAAACAAUUCAGAAUACAACUUUCAACAACGGAUCUCUUGGCUCUC
rnacentral:misc_RNA from 1 species